rnacentral:rRNA from 1 species
CCAAGGAAGGCAGCAGGCGCGCAAAUUACCCACUCCCAGCAGGGGAGGUAGUGACGAAAAAUAACAAUACGGGACUCUUUUGAGACCCCGUAAUUGGAAUGAGUACACUCUAAAUCCUUUAACGAGGAUCCAUUGGAGAGCAAGUCUGGUGCCAGCAGUCGCGGUAAUUCCAGCUCCAAUAGCGUAUAUUAAAGUUGUUGCGGUUAAAAAGCUCGUAGUUGGAUCUCAGCUCCGGCCGGACGGUCCGCCUACCGGUGGUUACUGUCCGCUGCCGAGCGUUCAGGCGGUUUCUCUUGAUGAUCUUCACCGGUUGUCUCGGGUGACCGCCAAGUUUACUUUGAAAAAAUUAGAGUGCUCAAAGCAGACGCGACGUCUGAAUAAUUGUGCAUGGAAUAAUGGAAUAGGACCUCGGUUCUAUUUUGUUGGUUUUCGGAACACGAGGUAAUGAUUAAGAGGGACAGACGGGGGCAUUCGUAUUGCGACGCUAGAGGUGAAAUUCUUGGACCGUCGCAAGACGAACUACUGCGAAAGCAUUUGCCAAGAAUGUUUCCAUUAAUCAAGAACGAAAGUUAGAGGUUCGAAGGCGAUCAGAUACCGCCCUAGUUCUAACCAUAAACGAUGCCAGCCAGCGAUCCGGCUGUGUUCCUCAAAUGACACGCCGGGCAGCUUCCGGGAAACCAAAGCUUUUGGGUCC